UAUCUUCAGUCAAAGGAGGAGCAUAACGAAAGGCUACAAAUGGAAGAUGUGGGGCGGACUCUGGACAUUUUUUAUCAAGGAUUUUGCACAUUUCCGACCCCUGUAUACGAGUCCAAUGUAAAAUUGGACUUCCUCCACCAAUGUCGGAAUAGUGAUUUUGAACUUUAGGUGUCCUACGUUUCGCAAUGAAUUUUCCUAAUGAAUUUUGAAAAUAACCGAGAGGAAUAAUAUCACCAUCAGUGAAUAGA